AUCCAGGUAUCUGCUCUGCUGAUUCAAACUGAAAACAAACUGAUGACUGCCAGAGGGGAGUUUGAGAUCUAUGCAGCACAUCUGAGGAGAGACCUCAAAUAAGCAGUCGUCCUGAGAGGAAAGAUCCAAGCCGGAGACUUAUGUUUAGGAGUCACCGACAUUUACAUGGAUUUAAAAGGUUGGUGGGAUUACAGCCAGAACUGCAGUUGUGCUGGGUUAGAACUCGUUACAAGUCUAUCACUGGGUCUAUGGCCGUUGGGCUUGUUACCAGAGGCUCAGAGAGAGAUCACAAGCAGGCAGAGAGGCAGGCAGAGAGAGAGGAGAAAGCAGGAUCCCCGCUGAGCAGAGAGCCUGAUGCAGGGCUCGAUUCCAGGACCCUGAGAUCAUGACCCGAGCUGAAGGCAGCAGCUUAACCCACUGAGCCAUCCAGGUGCCCCGCAGGCAUG